rnacentral:rRNA from 1 species
UGGUUAUUUAAGUGAGGUGUGAAAGCCCCGGGCCCAACCUGGGAACUGCAUCUUAUACUGGGUAACUGGAGUACAUGAGAGGGUAGUGGAAUUUCCGGUGUAGCGGUGAAAUCCGUUGAUAUCGUGGGGAACACCAAAGGCGAAGGCAGCGCACUGGCCCUCAUCUGACGCUCACACACGAAAGCCAGGGUAGCGAACGGGAUUAGAUACCCCGGUAGUCCUGGCCCUAAACGCUGCUCGCUCGUUCUGCGGAGUAUCGACCCUCUGCGGGACUAAGCUAACGCGGUAAGCGAGCCGCCUGGGUAGUACGAGCGCAAGCUUAAAACUCAAAGGAAUAGACGGGGACUCGCACAAGCGGUGGAUCAUGUGGCUUAAUUCGUCGAUAAGCGAAGAACCUUACCCAGGCUAGAAAUCCAACUGCAUCCCACCCGAAAGGGAGGGAGCCUUCGAGGGUGUUGGACAGGUGAUGCAUGGUUGUCGUCAGUUCGUGGCUUGAGCUGUUCCCUUCAGUGGGGUAACGAACGCAACCCACGUUGUCUGUUAUAUAUGUCAGGCGAGACUGCCCCCUCACGGGGGAGGAAGGUGUGGAUGACGCCAAAUCAGCAUGUCCCUUGAUGCCUGGGGCUGCACACGUGAUACAAUGGCCGGUACAGAAGGACGCAAUACCGCAAGGUGGAGCAAAUCCCAAAAACCGGCCCCAGUACGGAUUGAGGUCUGCAACCGACCUCAUGAAGCCGGAAUC